rnacentral:sRNA from 1 species
GCUGACACCUGCCCCGCCCUACAGGCUGCGGGUGAUCGCAGAAGCCUACGCUACCAAAGGGUCUCGCUCCGUUGCCAGGCUGGUGUGAUCUCGGCUCACUGCAACCUCUGCCUCCCAGGCUCAAGCGAUCCUCCCACCUCAGCUGGGACUACAGGCAUGCACCAUCCUGUCUAGCUAAUUUUUGGUAUUUUUUCUAGAGAUGAGGUUUUGCCAUGUUGCCCAGGCUGGUCACGAACUCCUGAACUCAAGCGAUCCUCCUGCCUUGGCCUCCCAAAGUGCUGGGAUUACAGGCAUGAGCCACUGCACCUGGCCUUAUUGUUCUUAAUAUAGACAAAAUACAUGUGUUUUAUAU